AAUUCUGGGAGUUGAAGUCCAGCCCUCUUCAAGGGGCCAAGUUUGGAAAACCCCUGUCUUAAGGGCUUUCGUCUUAGGCACGGGGGAGGGGGGGGGUCUCUGAGCCUGUGCAGAGCGUUCUUUAUUGGCAGCAGGAGAUCUCUGAGCCACUGCAGAGGGCUCCUUUUCUCCCAAGGCUUUCCCUGAAGGCACAGGGUCUCUGAGCCUAUACAGAGUGCUUUUUAUUGGCGGCAGGAGAUUUCUGAGCCUGUGCAGAGUGCUCCUCUUCUCCUGAGGCUUUCCUUGAAGGUACAGGGUCUCUGAGCCUAUACAGAGUGCUUGCUCUCUAUUGGCAGCGAGAGAUCUCUUGAGUGUCUGCAACGCGCCCCCCGCCCCCAUUUCAAAAGGCAGGGGAGGAGAAAAAAAACCCUCCUGAUUUCAGCUCUAAACCCAACGUUGCUUUCCCAAUGCUUUCUUUGGGACUCCAGUUUCCAUCAGCCCCAGCCUGGUGGACAAAGAGCCUGGGAAUUAGGAUCCAAACCUCUAGAGGGAGAAGAAAGCGCAGGAAGGGUGGACGCCAGGCUCUGGAUCUCGACCCAAGAGAAAAGAAGGACAAUGGAGGGGACCCAGGAUGGACGGACGGAAGAAUGGAAUGGAAUGGAAUAUAAUAGCAUAGCAUAGCAUAGCAUAGCAUAGCAUAGCAUAGCAUAGCAUAGCAUAGCAUAGCAUAGCAUAGCAUAGCAUAGCAUAGCAUAGCAUAGCAUAGCAUAGCAUAGAAUAGAAUAGAACAGAAUGGAAAAUACGGAAUGGAAUGGAAUGGAAUGGAAUGGAAUGGAAUGGAAUAGAAUAGAAUAGAAUAGAAUAGAAUAGAAUAGAAUAGAAAAUACGGAAUGGAUUGGAAUGGAAUAGAAUAGAAUAGAAAAUAUGGAAUGGAAUAGAAUAGAAUAGAAAAUAUGGAAUGGAUUGGAUUGGAUUGGAAUAGAAUAGAAUAGAAUAAAUAGAAAAUAUGGAAUGGAAUAGAAUAGAAUAGAAUAGAAUAGAAUAGAAUAGAAUAGAAUAGAAUAGAAAAUAUGGAAUGGAAAUAGAAUAGAAUAGAAUAGAAUAGAAUAGAAUAGAAUAGAAUAGAAUAGAAUAGGAAUAGAAAAUACGGAAUGGAUUGGAAUAGAAUAGAAUAGAAUAGAAUAGAAUAGAAUAGAAUAGAAAAUACGGAAUGGAUUGGAAUGGAUUGGAAUAGAAUAGAAUAGAAUAGAAUAGAAUAGAAUAGAAUAGAAUAGAAUAGAAAAUACGGAAUGGAUUGGAAUAGAAUAGAAUAAAAUAGAAAAUAUGGAAUGGAAUGGAAUAGAAUAAAAUAGAAAAUAUGGAUUGGAUUGGAUUGGAUUGGAAUAGAAUAGAAUAGAAUAGAAUAGAAUAGAAUAGAAUAGAAUAGAAUAAAUAGAAAAUAUGGAAUGGAAUGGAAUAGAAUAGAAUAGAAUAGAAUAGAAAAUACGGAAUGGAAAUAGAAUAGAAUAGAAUAGAACAGAAUAGAAUAGAAUAGAAUAGAAUAGAAUAGAAUAGAAUAGAAUAGAAUAGAAUAGAAAAUACGGAAUGGAUUGGAAUGGAUUGGAAUAGAAUAGAAUAGAACAGAAUAGAAUAGAAUAGAAUAGAAUAGAAUAGAAUAGAAUAGAAAAUACGGAAUGGAUUGGAAUAGAAUAGAAUAGAAUAGAAAAUAUGGAAUGGAAUGGAAUAGAAUAAAAUAGAAAAUAUGGAUUGGAUUGGAUUGGA